rnacentral:piRNA from 1 species
UAACAGAUGGCUGCCACACAACCUC